rnacentral:RNase_P_RNA from 1 species
AGAGUCGGCCGGAUGACCGCCGGCUUUAGCAAUAAGGCGAGAGGAAAGUCCGAGCACUGAAGGGCAGGGUGCUGGCUAACGGCCAGGGGGGGUGACCCCAUGGACAGUGCCACAGAAAACAGACCGCCGUCUUCCUUUGGAAGGCGGUAAGGGUGAAACGGUGAGGUAAGAGCUCACCAGUCCGGGCGGCGACGUCCGGAGCUAGGCAAACCCCACCCAGUGCAAAACCAAAUAGGGAGGUGUUAAGGGCUGCCCGUCCGAUACCUCCGGGUAGGUUGCUUGAGGCGUCGGGUAACCGGCGUCCUAGAGGAAUGGUCAUCGCCCGGCUUUUUAGCCGGGAACAGAACUCGGCUUACAGGCCGACUCUGUCC